AUAGGGGAGCCGGAGGGAAACCGAGUCUUAACCGGGCGUUAAGUUGCAGGGUAUAGACCCGAAACCCGGUGAUCUAGCCAUGGGCAGGUUGAAGGUUGGGUAACACUAACUGGAGGACCGAACCGACUAAUGUUGAAAAAUUAGCGGAUGACCUGUGGCUGGGGGUGAAAGGCCAAUCAAACCGGGAGAUAGCUGGUUCUCCCCGAAAGCUAUUUAGGUAGCGCCUCGUGAAUUCAUCUCCGGGGGUAGAGCACUGUUUCGGCUAGGGGGCCAUCCCGGCUUACCAACCCGAUGCAAACUGCGAAUACCGGAGAAUGUUAUCACGGGAGACACACGGCGGGUGCUAACGUCCGUCGUGAAGAGGGAAACAACCCAGACCGCCAGCUAAGGUCCCAAAGUCAUGGUUAAGUGGGAAACGAUGUGGGAAGGCCCAGACAGCCAGGAUGUUGGCUUAGAAGCAGCCAUCAUUUAAAGAAAGCGUAAUAGCUCACUGGUCGAGUCGGCCUGCGCGGAAGAUGUAACGGGGCUAAACCAUGCACCGAAGCUGCGGCAGCGACGCUUAUGCGUUGUUGGGUAGGGGAGCGUUCUGUAAGCCUGUGAAGGUGGCCUGUGAGGGUUGCUGGAGGUAUCAGA
rnacentral:rRNA from 1 species